GAUGAACGCUGGCGGCGUGCCUAAUACAUGCAAGUCGAGCGAACGGACGAGAAGCUUGCUUCUCUGAUGUUAGCGGCGGACGGGUGAGUAACACGUGGAUAACCUACCUAUAAGACUGGGAUAACUUCGGGAAACCGGAGCUAAUACCGGAUGAUAUUUUGAACCGCAUGGUUCAAAAGUGAAAGACGGUCUUGCUGUCACUUAUAGAUGGAUCCGCGCUGCAUUAGCUAGUUGGUAAGGUAACGGCUUACCAAGGCAACGAUGCAUAGCCGACCUGAGAGGGUGAUCGGCCACACUGGAACUGAGACACGGUCCAGACUCCUACGGGAGGCAGCAGUAGGGAAUCUUCCGCAAUGGGCGAAAGCCUGACGGAGCAACGCCGCGUGAGUGAUGAAGGUCUUCGGAUCGUAAAACUCUGUUAUUAGGGAAGAACAUAUGUGUAAGUAACUGUGCACAUCUUGACGGUACCUAAUCAGAAAGCCACGGCUAACUACGUGCCAGCAGCCGCGGUAAUACGUAGGUGGCAAGCGUUAUCCGGAAUUAUUUGGCGUAACGCGCGCGUAGGCGGUUUUUUAAGUCUGAUGUGAAAGCCCACGGCUCAACCGUGGAGGGUCAUUGGAAACUGGAAAACUUGAGUGCAGAAGAGGAAAGUGGAAUUCCAUGUGUAGCGGUGAAAUGCGCAGAGAUAUGGAGGAACACCAGUGGCGAAGGCGACUUUCUGGUCUGUAACUGACGCUGAUGUGCGAAAGCGUGGGGAUCAAACAGGAUUAGAUACCCUGGUAGUCCACGCCGUAAACGAUGAGUGCUAAGUGUUAGGGGGUUUCCGCCCCUUAGUGCUGCAGCUAACGCAUUAAGCACUCCGCCUGGGGAGUACGACCGCAAGGUUGAAACUCAAAGGAAUUGACGGGGACCCGCACAAGCGGUGGAGCAUGUGGUUUAAUUCGAAGCAACGCGAAGAACCUUACCAAAUCUUGACAUCCUUUGACAACUCUAGAGAUAGAGCCUUCCCCUUCGGGGGACAAAGUGACAGGUGGUGCAUGGUUGUCGUCAGCUCGUGUCGUGAGAUGUUGGGUUAAGUCCCGCAACGAGCGCAACCCUUAAGCUUAGUUGCCAUCAUUAAGUUGGGCACUCUAAGUUGACUGCCGGUGACAAACCGGAGGAAGGUGGGGAUGACGUCAAAUCAUCAUGCCCCUUAUGAUUUGGGCUACACACGUGCUACAAUGGACAAUACAAAGGGCAGCGAAACCGCGAGGUCAAGCAAAUCCCAUAAAGUUGUUCUCAGUUCGGAUUGUAGUCUGCAACUCGACUACAUGAAGCUGGAAUCGCUAGUAAUCGUAGAUCAGCAUGCUACGGUGAAUACGUUCCCGGGUCU
rnacentral:rRNA from 1 species